UACGGGGGGGGUAAGCGUUGUUCGGAAUUACUGGGCGUAAAGGGCUCGUAGGCGGCCAACUAAGUCGGACGUGAAAUCCCUCAGCUUAACUGGGGAACUGCGUCCGAUACUGGAUGGCUUGGAUUGGGAGAGGGAUGCGGAAUUCCAGGUGUAGCGGUGAAAUGCGUAGAUAUCAGGAGGAACACCGAUGGCGAAGGCAGCUCGCUGGGACGGUACUGACGCUGAGGCGCGAAAGCGUGGGGAGCGAACAGG
rnacentral:rRNA from 1 species